UGGUCCUAGCCUUGUAUUCAAUUAUUACUUAAUAUACACAUGCAAGUCUCCGCCCCCCUGUGAAAACGCCCUUAAAUCCCCUGUAGGGACAAGGAGCCGGUAUCAGGCUCAACUUUUUAGCCCAAAACACCUAGCUACGCCACACCCACACGGGAGUUCAGCAGUGAUUAACAUUGAGCAUAAGCGACAGCUUGACUCAGUUAAAGUAAAAAGAGCCGGCAAAUCUGGUGCCAGCCGCCGCGGUUACACCACGUGGCUCAAAUUGAUCUCUUUCGGCGUAAAGCGUGGUUAAAGUUCCCUCAAAUUAUAGCCCAACUAAAAUUAAGCUGUGACACGCUUGUAUUUAGGAACCCCAAAAACGAAAGUUACUAUAAUUAAAACAACUUGAACCCACGACAAUUGGGAUACAAACUGGGAUUAGAUACCCCACUAUGCCCAAUCGUAAACUUUAACUUACACCCACAUCGCCCGGGAACUACGAGCAAAGCUUAAAACCCAAAGGACUUGACGGUACCCCAUAUCCCCCUAGAGGAGCCUGUCCUAUAAUCGAUAACCCCCGCUUAACCUCACCAUUUUUAGCUUAUCAAUCUGUAUACCUCCGUCGUCAGCUUACCACGUGAGCGACUACUAGUGAGCCUAAUGCCCAUACGCCAACACGUCAGGUCAAGGUGCAGUAAAUAAAAUGGGAAGAGAUGGGCUACACUCUCUAUCAUAGAAAAUACGAAAGACUAUAUAUGAAACCUAGUCAGAAGGCGGAUUUAGUAGUAAACAGAGACAAGAGAGCUCUUUUUAACAUGGCACUGGGGUGUGUACACACCGCCCGUCACCCUCUUCAAAGCUAACAAAAAGUUCAUAACACACCCGAGCACUGUAGAAGAGGCAAGUCGUAACAUGGUAAGUAUACCGGAAGGUGUGCUUGGAAA
rnacentral:ncRNA from 1 species